rnacentral:rRNA from 1 species
UCGCGAAAACUUCACAAUGGGAGAAAUCCCGAUGAGGGAAUACCAAGUGCCAGCACUUUUGUGUUGGCUGUUCUCCUGUCUAAAAAACAGGAGAAGUAAGGGCCGGGUAAGACGGGUGCCAGCCGCCGCGGUAAUACCCGCGGCCCGAGUGGUGGUCGAUAUUAUUGAGCCUAAAACGUCCGUAGCCGGUCUCAUAAAUCCUUGGGUAAAUCGGCCAGCUUAACUGUCCGAAGUCCGAGGAGACUGUGAGACUUGGGAUCGGGAGAGGUCAGAGGUACUUCUGGGGUAGGGGUAAAAUCCUGUAAUCCUGGAAGGACCACCGGUGGCGAAGGCGUCUGACUAGAACGAAUUCGACGGUGAGGGACGAAGCCCUGGGGCGCAAACGGGAUUAGAUACCCCGGUAGUCCAGGGUGUAAACGCUGCGGGCUUGGUGUUGGGGGUCCUUUGUGGGCGCCCAGUGCCGGAGAGAAGUUGUUAAGCCUGCUGCUUGGGGAGUACGUCCGCAAGGAUGAAACUUAAAGGAAUUGGCGGGGGAGCACCGCAACGGGAGGAGCGUGCGGUUC